rnacentral:rRNA from 1 species
GCCCAGACUCCUACGGGAGGCAGCAGUGGGGAAUAUUGCACAAUGGGGGAAACCCUGAUGCAGCGACGCCGCGUGAGCGAUGAAGUAUUUCGGUAUGUAAAGCUCUAUCAGCAGGGAAGAAGAUGACGGUACCUGACUAAGAAGCCCCGGCUAACUACGUGCCAGCAGCCGCGGUAAUACGUAGGGGGCAAGCGUUAUCCGGAUUUACUGGGUGUAAAGGGAGCGUAGACGGCGGCGCAAGCCAGAUGUGAAAGCCCGGGGCUCAACUCCGGGACUGCAUUUGGAACUGUGUGGCUGGAGUGUCGGAGAGGCAGGCGGAAUUCCUAGUGUAGCGGUGAAAUGCGUAGAUAUUAGGAGGAACACCAGUGGCGAAGGCGGCCUGCUGGACGAUGACUGACGUUGAGGCUCGAAAGCGUGGGGAGCAAACAGGAUUAGAUACCCCCGUA